GCGUGUUCGUGCUCUUCGUGAUGCAUCUGUAUGAAAAACGAUUCGCAACCGGGCAACGCUACGUCGACACGUCCAAAAUAUGCAGCCUAUUUAAUAUUCUCGGUGUCCUCGUGGAAUUUGUACUUCGCUAAGUUGCCACUUGGCCACUUCAUCGGUUUGUCGAUGCAGAAUUGAUCGGAGGCUUUGCAUGAUGACAAAAGUCGGUAAUCCUUUUUGUUGAAUUUUCGUUGGCAGAUUAAUUUUUGCGUGAUCGGCGCAUGUGCAAGAUACUGUGAUUUGCAUGUUCUCAAAAAAAUAUUAGCAAUUUUGUUUCAGAUUAUUAUGUCGCGAUAAAUUUAUUUAAUUUAGCAGACUUACUGUGUAUUACAUAAGCGUCGAAAAUGUGGAUGCGAUACGCUGACAAAAAUUUUUCUGCAAUACGAUUUCAACAUGUUUACGUGCGAUUUAUAUACAUAUUUUAUAAAUAACUGUUAUUUACGCAUAAAAUUUGUGCGUCACAUAGUAUCUGCGCGCAAUUGUUUUUCUUUUCGAUAUAACAUCGUAAUUACACGUAAUAUCGAAGUUUCCUUAAUUUACGAGUUCAGCCUGAACAUUUUAUCGACAUUGUUGCGAGCGAGUGCAAGUAAACACGGCAUAAUCAGAAUUAUCAACUUUUAUUGCGAAUAAAGUUAACACAACGUUGCGCAGUACAUCGCAGUAUUCAUUACAUCUAAUAACACGUUAAAAGCUACUGAUUUUAUUUGGAAUUGACAGUCUGUGGCAUUCGAGGAAGUAUGUAGUAACUUGUCGGAAAUGUCCUUAUCAGAAUUAUGCAAGUACUGUACCAUCGAUAGAAUCUGUUUAAAUGCAAUAUUCUUUCGUUCUUCUAAACUGCAUUAAUCUUUUGAUUUCAUUAUUG